GGGGUAUUAUUACAAUCAAUAAGCGGAGGAAAAGAAACCAACAGGGAUUGCCCUAGUAACGGCGAGUGAAGCGGCAACAGCUCAAAUUUGAAAUCUGGCUCCUUUGGGGUCCGAGUUGUAAUUUGCAGAGGGAGCUUUUGGCGUCGGUCGUGGUCUAAGUUCCUUGGAACAGGACGUCACAGAGGGUGAGAAUCCCGUACGUGGCCGCCGGCCUUCGCCUUGUAAAGCCCCUUCGACGAGUCGAGUUGUUUGGGAAUGCAGCUCUAAAUGGGAGGUAAAUUUCUUCUAAAGCUAAAUACCCGCCAGAGACCGAUAGCGCACAAGUAGAGUGAUCGAAAGAUGAAAAGCACUUUGGAAAGAGAGUGAAAAAGCACGUGAAAUUGUUGAAAGGGAAGCGCUUGCGGCCAGACGUGCCCGCGGUUGAUCAUCCAGGCUCCAGCCUGGUGCACUCCUCCGCGGGCAGGCCAGCAUCAGUUCGGGCGGUCGGAUAAAGGCCUCUAUCACGUACCACCCCUCGGGGUGGCCUUAUAGGGGAGGCGCAACACGGCCAGCCCGGACUGAGGUUCCGCGCAUCUGCUAGGAUGCUGGCGUAAUGGCAGCAAGCGGCCCGUCUUGAAACACGGACCAAGGAGUCUAACAUCUAUGCGAGUGUUUGGGUGUCAAGCCCGAGCGCGCAAUGAAAGUGAACGGAGGUGGGAACCCUUACCGGUGCACCAUCGACCGAUCCUGAUGUCUUCGGAUGGAUUUGAGUAAGAGCAUAGCUGUUGGGACCCGAAAGAUGGUGAACUAUGCCUGAAUAGGGUGAAGCCAGAGGAAACUCUGGUGGAGGCUCGCAGCGGUUCUGACGUGCAAAUCGAUCGUCAAAUUUGGGCAUAGGGGCGAAAGACUAAUCGAACCAUCUAGUAGCUGGUCCUGCAGAAAUAUUCUCU
rnacentral:rRNA from 1 species